rnacentral:rRNA from 1 species
AAUGAGCCUGCGAGUUGUGGUGUCUGGCAAGGUUAAGCAAACGCGAAGCCGUAGCGAAAGCGAGUCUGAAUAGGGCGCUUAGUCAGAUGCUGCAGACCCGAAACGAAGUGAUCUAUCCAUGAGCAAGUUGAAGCUAGUGUAAGAACUAGUGGAGGACUGAACCCAUAGGCGUUGAAAAGCCCCGGGAUGACUUGUGGAUAGGGGUGAAAGGCCAAUCAAACUUCGUGAUAGCUGGUUCUCUCCGAAAUAUAUUUAGGUAUAGCGUUGUGUCGUAAUAUAAGGGGGUAGAGCACUGAAUGGGCUAGGGCAUACACCAAUGUACCAAACCCUAUCAAACUCCGAAUACCUUAUAUGUAAUCACAGCAGUCAGGCGGCGAGUGAUAAAAUCCGUCGUCAAGAGGGAAACAACCCAGACUACCAGCUAAGGUCCCUAAAUCUUACUUAAGUGGAAAACGAUGUGAAGUUACUUAAACAACCAGGAGGUUGGCUUAGAAGCAGCCAUCCUUUAAAGAAAGCGUAAUAGCUCACUGGUCUAGUGAUUUUGCGCGGAAAAUAUAACGGGGCUAAAGUAAGUACCGAAGCUGUAGACUUGAUUUUAUCAAGUGGUAGGAGAGCGUUCUAUUUGCGUCGAAGGUAUACCGGUAAGGAGUGCUGGAGCGAAUAGAAGUGAGCAUGCAGGCAUGAGUAGCGAUAAUUAAUGUGAGAAUCAUUAACGCCGUAAACCCAAGGUUUCCUACGCGAUGCUCGUCAUCGUAGGGUUAGUCGGGUCCUAAGUCGAGUCCGAAAGGGGUAGACGAUGGCAAAUUGGUUAAUAUUCCAAUACCAACAUUAGUGUGCGAUGGAAGGACGCUUAGGGCUAAGGGGGCUAGCGGAUGGAAGUGCUAGUCUAAGGUCGUAGGAGGUUAUACAGGCAAAUCCGUAUAACAAUACUCCGAGAACUGAAAGGCUUUUUGAAGUCUUCGGAUGGAUAGAAGAACCCCUGAUGCCAUCGAGCCAAGAAAAGUUUCUAAGUUUAGCUAAUGUUGCCCGUACCGUAAACCGACACAGGUGGGUGGGAUGAGUAUUCUAAGGCGCGUGGAAGAACUCUCUUUAAGGAACUCUGCAAAAUAGCACCGUAUCUUCGGUAUAAGGUGUGGUUCGCUUCGUAUUAGGAUUUACUCCGAAAGCGAAGAAACUUACAACAAAGAGUCCCUCCCGACUGUUUACCAAAAACACAGCACUCUGCUAACUCGUAAGAGGAUGUAUAGGGUGUGACGCCUGCCCGGUGCUCGAAGGUUAAUUGAUGGGGUUAGCAUUAGCGAAGCUCUUGAUCGAAGCCCGAGUAAACGGCGGCCGUAACUAUAACGGUCCUAAGGUAGCGAAAUUCCUUGUCGGUUAAAUACCGACCUGCAUGAAUGGCGUAACGAGAUGGGAGCUGUCUCAAAGAGGGAUCCAGUGAAAUUGUAGUGGAGGUGAAAAUUCCUCCUACCCGCGGCAAGACGGAAAGACCCCGUGGACCUUUACUACAGCUUGACACUGCUAUUUGGAUAAGAAUGUGCAGGAUAGGUGGGAGGCUUUGAGUAUAUGACGCCAGUUGUAUAUGAGCCAUUGUUGAGAUACCACUCUUUCUUAUUUGGGUAGCUAACCAGCUUGAGUUAUCCUCAAGUGGGACAAUGUCUGGUGGGUAGUUUGACUGGGGCGGUCGCCUCCCAAAUAAUAACGGAGGCUUACAAAGGUUGGCUCAGAACGGUUGGAAAUCGUUCGUAGAGUAUAAAGGUAUAAGCCAGCUUAACUGCAAGACAUACAAGUCAAGCAGAGACGAAAGUCGGUCUUAGUGAUCCGGUGGUUCUGUGUGGAAGGGCCAUCGCUCAAAGGAUAAAAGGUACCCCGGGGAUAACAGGCUGAUCUCCCCCAAGAGCUCACAUCGACGGGGAGGUUUGGCACCUCGAUGUCGGCUCAUCGCAUCCUGGGGCUGGAGCAGGUCCCAAGGGUAUGGCUGUUCGCCAUUUAAAGCGGUACGCGAGCUGGGUUCAGAACGUCGUGAGACAGUUCGGUCCCUAUCUGCCGUGGGCGUAAGAAGAUUGAAGAGAUUUGACCCUAGUACGAGAGGACCGGGUUGAACAAACCACUGGUGUAGCUGUUGUUCUGCCAAGAGCAUCGCAGCGUAGCUAAGUUUGGAAAGGAUAAACGCUGAAAGCAUCUAAGCGUGAAGCCAACUCUAAGAUGAAUCUUCUCUAAGCUCUCUAGAAGACUACUAGUUUGAUAGGCUGGGUGUGUAAUGGAUGAAAGUCCUUUAGCUGACCAGUACUAAUAGAGCGUUUGGCUUAUCUUUAAUAAAGCAU